GACAGAGGAGCCAAGCGUUGUCCGGACUGACUGGGCGUAAAGCGCACGCAGGUGGUCGUGCAAGUGCCGUGUGAAAGCGGCCCGCUUAACGGGUCGAGGCCAUGGCAGACUGCGCGACUGGAGGUCGUGAGAGGUCGGUGGAAUUGCCGGUGUAGUGGUGACAUGCAUAGAUAUCGGCAGGAACACCCAAGGGGAAGCCAGCCAACUGGCACGAUGCUGACACUGAGGUGCGACAGCGUGGGGAGCGAACCGG
rnacentral:rRNA from 1 species